UAGCCCUGACGAGAGACGCAGACCUCAGAAAGGUCAGUUUUACUUUUAGUUUAGAUGCUUACUUGUGGGCUCCGGAGAAGUCAACUUACCAUCCUACUUCUUCGCUGUAUAAAGGAAUAUUGCACAUGUGUCUUCAGGGUAUAUAUAACUAUAAGUGCAGAAGACUUCUCCCCAACUGGAACCAAAGUGGAAGAAGAUUCUUCCCCUUGUGUCAGCCCCUGGCCGGCCUCAGACCAGCCAAGCCAAGGGGAGGUACUACACCGGUGAUUGAUCUGAGAUGAAAUUAUGAUGUUGGAUGAAACAUGAAGUCAUGAUCCUGGAGAGAGAAAAAAACAGACACGGAAUCCCUGCCACCAGUCCUCUGUGACUUUCUUUGAUACUAGGGUUUGUCUCUCCUACAUUCUCCUAAAAUACAGAUUUCAAAGACUAAAGACAUGCUAAUUAUCUGCCCUGCAUUUGGCACAGUUCCUGAUGCAUGAUAGAUGGCCAGCACUCAUCAAUUGAAUUAACACAGAAAAUGAAGAGGAGUGAGAGACAAGGCACAAUGGAAAUUGUGGAACAGGAAAAUGCAGAUUUAGUGGCUGUUAAAAAGUUGCAAGUGAAUUAAUAUUGUAAAUUAUUUGCAGAGUCAUUAAAAUGAAGGCUAACUGUGUGUGUCCUAAGUCAUAAUCCAGCUAUCUGACAGCAAGUAAGUGGUUGAUACAGAAGUUCCACAUAUCACUGGGGUCCAGGGCUAUUGAACGAAUCAAUGCUUAUAUGCAUUGGUUGGAAAAUGGCUUUGGUAACUGAGUCAUGGUAAAGGAUGUGUGCUUAUAUUUGACCCUGAAAAGGGCCAUGGAUAUAUAAUGCAGGGUUAAUUUAUGGGUUAAUGUCUUGGAUGCUGGAAUUCUCUAAGUUUGUUCAUUUUAACCUUGUUCAUCAUCCCAGCAUAUGGUGCUAAUGUCUGUCCAGGAACUAUUGGCUUUAGACAUUAAUGAUGGCAAACUCAGGCUUCCCUUUUUUGUGGGUAGUAUGGCCAGUCUCCUGCUUUCAUACUUGUGUCUCAAAAAAGACAUCUAUGGAAAGAAGAGCAGGUGAUACUUAUUGAAACAAAACCCUUCUUUGGUCUAGAGGCUACAACUAAGUGGGGUAAACUGAACUUAAUUAUUUAUUAAUUUAAUUUGGUGCAUAUGUGCUUCAGAAAACAUCUUUGCAUCCAACUGUGCCUUUUCCUUCAUUCCCUGCUCUUCAAAAUCUCUACCUGUGCUUUAAAAACAAAGUAAAACAAUAAAAUUAUAAGAUAGAGGGGUAAGAGAAAACAUUAUGCAUAUUUUAUAGGAGAUCCAUAAAAAUGCAAAUUUUAUUCAGGUUUUUGGCUCCUAGGAGACAUGUGUCCCUGGAAAUGAAGAUUUAUUAGAAAAGAUAUGUCCAGUGGGCAAAAAUAUAUGAGAAAUUAUGACUUUCUGGUUUUCUUUGUUCCUCACUGUUCACAGCACCAGCUGCCUAUAGCUGGGAUCCCUGUGCUCUUAUUCCUGUCUUCAAAUUCAAGUUCUAGAUCUUUUUCAAGGAAAAGGAAAUAAUUACAAUGCUUAUAAAUGCUUAAAAAUAAGUUAAUGUGUGAAAAUUGCUUUUUC